UACUCUUUGAAUUGCCGGUCAGCUGAAAUACAUUCACGCUGCUGGUGCUCCUUUCUUUUAGGAGAAAGGCGAGUUCCGAUUUGGUAGGUGACCUUUGCCGGUUGCAUGCCUUCGUUGCCCGCUAUGCAUCAGGCUAGCGAUGUGCAGGACGCCUUCUGGCUUUCGACCUGAGGUCAGGCAAGAACACCCGCUGAACUUAA
rnacentral:misc_RNA from 1 species